CCUACGGGAGGCAGCAGUCGAGAAUCAUUCACAAUGGGGGAAACCCUGAUGGUGCGACGCCGCGUGGGGGAAUGAAGGUCUUCGGAUUGUAAACCCCUGUCAUGUGGGAGCAAAUUAAAAAGAUAGUACCACAAGAGGAAGAGACGGCUAACUCGGUGCCAGCAGCCGCGGUAAUACAGAGGUCUCAAGCGUUGUUCGGAAUCACUGGGCGUAAAGCGUGCGUAGGCUGUUUCGUAAGUCGUGUGUGAAAGGCGGGGGCUCAACCGGCGGACGGCACAUGAUACUGCGAGACUAGAGUAAUGGAGGGGGAACCGGAAUUCUCGGUGUAGCAGUGAAAUGCGUAGAUAUCGAGAGGAACACUCGUGGCGAAGGCGGGUUCCUGGACAUUAACUGACGCUGAGGCACGAAGGCCAGGGGAGCGAAAGGGAUUAGAUACCCUUGUAGUC
rnacentral:rRNA from 1 species